rnacentral:misc_RNA from 1 species
GAUGAAGAACGUAGUGAAAUGCGAUAACUAGUGUGAAUUGCAGAAUUCCGUGAAUCAUCGAGUCUUUGAACGCACAUUGCGCCCCCUGGUAUUCCGGGGGGCAUGCCUGUCCGAGCGUCAUUGCUGCCCAUCAAGCACGGCUUGUGUGUUGGGUCGUCGUCCCCUCUCCGGGGGGGACGGGCCCCAAAGGCAGCGGCGGCACCGCGUCCGAUCCUCGAGCGUAUGGGGCUUUGUCACCCGCUCUGUAGGCCCGGCCGGCGCUUGCCGAACGCAAAUCAAUCUUUUUCCAGGUUGACCUCGGAUCAGGUAGGGAUACCCGCUGAACUUAAGCAUAUCAAUAAGCGGAGG